AACUGAAAAGAAAAUUCAGAUGUCAUUCACGCCGAUGAGAAAAUGUCUGAAAGUAACAUGGAGCGGGAAUGCACAGAAAAUUCAGAUGUCAUGGAGCGGAUUGCACAGAAAAUAACGGAAAAUUCAGAUGUCAUGGAGCAGAACCAAUUGGAGCCGUUGAGAGAAUGCUUGAAAAAAGCAUGUGAAAAAAAAUUCAAAUUUCAAACCAACUGGAGUAAACCAUGGUAUUCAAACCUUGUAAACCACGGUAUGUAAACCAUGUAAACCACGGUACGGAGUUCAUUUUAAAGGGAGGGAUGGUAAUUAUUUGGGCAAAGGCAGCAGCCAUUGUCUGUUUCGCAUUUGCAUGUUUAAGAUCAUAACCCUAACCUCUGUCAGACCAAUUAAUGUUCUUUUAUGUUUUUUCUGUCAGUGCUUUGUUCUGUCUUUCUGUUAUUUCUUUCAUUAUUUUUUUCCCAUACAAUGUUUUGUUCUGUUGUUUCAUUAUUUCUUGUUUUUCCUUUUUUUGGAGUCUACUACAGUGUGCACACUAGUUUGUCUGUCAUGAGCUUUAUCUAUUGUUUUUUCUUUUUCUUUUUUUUUCACAUUUUGUAUGGUAGAAGAUGAAGAGGAAAAAAAGAGGAGGUAGGAAUCAAGAAAUGGCAGCUGAUUGAGGGAAAAAUUCUUCUUUCAGCCAGUCACGACACUGACAAUGGAUUCACUAGUGGGACCAUUUCUCAGAGGAGGCCUUGCUAAGCUCUUCAUAACUACUUCUGAACCUGCUCACUGGUGGAUGUCAUUGUUUUGUUCAAGGAAAAAGCUUGUGGAGUGGGACAAAAGAUCUUACUUCUUGGUUUGUUUGCUGGUUGUCGUAACACAGAGAAGCUGCAAUCAUUGAAGUUGACAUGUUUGGUGAGGUUGACGUGAAUGAUUACAAACAGGACUUGGGUGGUAGCAUGUUGCAGCGAAAAAACUGCAGUUUGAUAAGAAGGAUCCUAAAGUGAGCUGAGCAGCUACAUGAAUUAUUUUUCAUCAUGAUGUAUAAAAACAACAAGAGAUGGAAUUAGACUUCAAUCAUUUAUGUAGUUAAAGUUUGGUCAAGCAUAUUGACUUGAUAGCAUUGUAAUAUGUGUAUGCGGGAAAAGUGGGCCGAUAAAACUCAAUAUGUAAAAAAUGGAGCUCUAUGGAGCCUUGCUCACACACCCACAUGACUUCUUGAUGCAAAAUAUGGAGUCAUGAAGUAUGACUCAACUUCCCAAGGAUGGUUCCAUGGUUCUCUAUCUUACACGGUCCCUCAAACCAAUGUUUUUGCUUUUAGAUCACUGAGCAAAAUGGUUUAGGGAUGACAAAUGCAAGAACGA